rnacentral:rRNA from 1 species
ACAGGGGGAUAACUGAUGGAAACGUCAGCUAAGACCGCAUAGGUGUAGAGAUCGCAUGAACUCUAUAUGAAAAGUGCUACGGGACUGGUAGAUGAUGGACUUAUGGCGCAUUAGCUGGUUGGUAGGGUAACGGCCUACCAAGGCGGCGAUGCGUAGCCGACCUGAGAGGGUGACCGGCCACACUGGGACUGAGACACGGCCCAGACUCCUACGGGAGGCAGCAGUAGGGAAUUUUCGGCAAUGGGGGAAACCCUGACCGAGCAACGCCGCGUGAAGGAAGAAGUAAUUCGUUAUGUAAACUUCUGUCAUAGAGGAAGAACGGUGGAUAUAGGGAAUGAUAUCCAAGUGACGGUACUCUAUAAGAAAGCCACGGCUAACUACGUGCCAGCAGCCGCGGUAAUACGUAGGUGGCGAGCGUUAUCCGGAAUUAUUGGGCGUAAAGAGGGAGCAGGCGGCACUAAGGGUCUGUGGUGAAAGAUCGAAGCUUAACUUCGGUAAGCCAUGGAAACCGUAGAGCUAGAGUGUGUGAGAGGAUCGUGGAAUUCCAUGUGUAGCGGUGAAAUGCGUAGAUAUAUGGAGGAACACCAGUGGCGAAGGCGACGAUCUGGCGCAUAACUGACGCUCAGUCCCGAAAGCGUGGGGAGCAAAUAGGAUUAGAUACCCUAGUAGUCCACGCCGUAAACGA